AGAGUUUGAUCCUGGCUCAGGACGAACGCUGGCGGUGUGCCUCACACAUGCAAGUCGAACGGGGUAGCAAUACCCAGUGGCGGACGGGUGAGUAACACGUGGGAAUCUGCCUUUAGAUGGGGGAUAGCAGGCCGAAAGGCCUAUUAAUACCGCAUAUGCCGCAAGGUAAAAGGAGCAAUCCGUCUGAAGAUGAGCCCGCG
rnacentral:rRNA from 1 species